AACGCGAAGAACCUUACCUGGGCUCGAAAUGCUACGGACCAGCUUAUGAAAGUAGGCCUUCCCGCAAGGGACCGUAGUAUAGGUGCUGCAUGGCUGUCGUCAGCUCGUGUCGUGAGAUGUUGGGUUAAGUCCCGCAACGAGCGCAACCCUUGUCCUGUGUUGCCAUACCGAAAGGUGGAACUCGCAGGAGACCGCCAGGGAUAACCUGGAGGAAGGUGGGGAUGACGUCAAGUCCUCAUGGCCUUUAUGUCCAGGGCUACACACGUGCUACAAUGGACGGUACAAAGGGCUGCCAACCCGCGAGGGGGAGCCAAUCCCAAAAAACCGUUCUCAGUUCGGAUUGCAGGCUGCAACUCGCCUGCAUGAAGCUGGAAUCGCUAGUAAUGGCGGAUCAGAACGCCGCCGUGAAUACGUUCCCGGGCCUUGUA
rnacentral:rRNA from 1 species